CCUACGGGUGGCUGCAGUAGGGAAUUUUCCACAAUGGGCGAAAGCCUGAUGGAGCAACGCCGCGUGGGUGAAGAAGGUCUUCGGAUCGUAAAACCCUGUUGUUAGAGAAGUAAGUGCGUGAGAGUAACUGUUCUUGUUUCGACGGUAUCUAACCAGAAAGCCUCGGCUAAAUACGUGCCAGCAGCCGCGGUAAUACGUAGGUGGCAAGCGUUAUCCGGAUUUAUUGGGCGUAAAGGGAACGCAGGUGGUCUGUUAAGUCUGAUGUGAAAGUCUUCGGCUUAACCGGAGUAGUGCAUUGGAUACUGGGAGACGUGAGUGCAGAAGAGGAGGGUGGAACUCGAGGUGUAGCGGUGAAAUGCGUAGAUAUAUGGAAGAACACCAGUGGCGAAAGCGGCUCUCUGGUCUGUAACUGACGCUGAGGUUCGAAAGCGUGGGUAGCAAACAGGAUUAGAUACCCUUGUAGUC
rnacentral:rRNA from 1 species